ACACGCGCUGCGCCUGCGCAGGGAGGAACGCGGGUUGGCUCCCGCUGCGUUCCUACCUGGAGGGUCCUGCCUCACCCGCCAUGCUUCUGGGCCGAGUUCAGUCCCUCACUCCGCCGAUCUGUACCUGCCACGGAUAUUUCUGUGUUGUUUCUCGUCUGCUGGUGUUUUCAUCGCGACCUUCCAAAUUCUGUGAAGAAGCCUCGAACACCCUUCAGACAGAUAGAACGUUCUUCACGAAAGCGACACUCCAACAGCUGAUUCUGUGGUCUGUGUUGAAAUAUGCAGAGAUGCCUCCCUCCUCCACCCUCCUGCUGCCUCCACGGAAGCUCCAGGGAGACCUGGUCUCGAAGGAGCUCAGCUUGGGCUCCCCGGCGCCCUGUGUCCCGUCAUCGGGCAGCAAUGCCAAGCGGUCCUCUGGCUCCAUCAUCAGGAGCCACGCUGUGGGAGCUCAGAAAUGCGCCUCAGAAUCAGACCCAGGUUCCUGUUUCCCACAUUCCCUGCUCUCCAAACUAGAGCUGGAUGGUGAGGAAUGGAGUUCCUGCCUCAUUUCAUUAAUUAGCUUAUAAUGUUCACAGUGGGCUGAGCACUCCCUUAUUUCAUCUUCAUAAGGAGUUUAUGAGGUAGGCGCUAUUAUUAUCCCACUUUGUAGGCUAGGAGACUGAGACACAGAGACAGAGGUAAUGCACCCAGGUCAUCUUGUUUUGUUACACGAUGAUACCAGUGGCCUCGGAGCCCAAGGACCUAAGAACUCUCUGUGUCUUUGGAGGUUUGUUUGACUUGGCUCAGUUGUGCCUCCAAUUUCGUAAGGACUCUGUAGCUUUGUCUUUAACUAAGGAACACCAGAAACAAGGCCCUGCUCAUUUUUUAUUUUUGGGUGAUUUACGUCACUCUGCAAGAGAGAGAAUUUCUGAGAGAUGCGUUUGAUUUUAAGAAAGCAAGAAGAUACUUGAUUUUGAACAAUUUGUUCUUCUUCUUUGUGCCCAACCCAAACAAGAUGACAGCAACCAUGAGGGCUGGUCAAUGUGAUUCCUGGGACACCAUGGGAGAUGGAAAUAAAAA
rnacentral:lncRNA from 1 species